UACGUAGGGUGCAAGCGUUAUUCGGAAUUACUGGGCGUAAAGCGUGCGCAGGCGGUGUUGUAAGACCGAUGUGAAAUCCCCGGGCUCAACCUGGGAACUGCAUUUGUGACUGCAUCGCUGGAGUGCGGCAGAGGGGGAUGGAAUUCCGCGUGUAGCAGUGAAAUGCGUAGAUAUGCGGAGGAACACCGAUGGCGAAGGCAAUCCCCUGGGCCUGCACUGACGCUCAGGCACGAAAGCGUGGGGAGCAAACAGG
rnacentral:rRNA from 1 species